rnacentral:lncRNA from 1 species
ACCCGUGUAGUACAUAAGGGAAAGAGAUACAUAGUUGGCUUACAAUCGCCACUUCACACAAUACAUGAAUAAAGCAUUACAUCAUCCAGAUACACAUAAGGUCUGACUACGAAACCAAAAUAAAAGAAGACUACCCCAAAUGCUACACAGAUCCCCGAUCGUCCCAACUGGGCUCCACUACUGAUCAACUGAAAUGAAACAACACAAUGAACGGGAUCUUCAUCGAGCUCCUCCUUGAGCUCGGUUGCGUCACCUGCACGGUUCCAUCGGCACCUGCAAACUGGUUUUGGAAGUAUCUGUGAGUCACGGGGACUCAGCAAUCUCACACCCUCGCGAUCAAGACUAUUUAAGCUUAUAGGUAAGGUAAAGGUAUGAGGUGGAGCUGCAGCAAGCGACUAGCAUAUAUGGUGGCUAACUUACGCAAAUGAGAGUGAGAAGAGAAAGCAAGGCACGGUCGUGAAACUAUGAUCAAGAAGUGAUCCAAGACUACUUACGUUCAAGCAUAACUCCAAGACCGUGUUCACUUCCCGGACUCCGCUGGAAUGUGACCAUCACGGGUACACACGCAGUUGAUGCAUUUUACUUAAGUUUAGUUUCAGGUUCUCUACAACCGGACAUUAACAAAUUCCCAUUUGCCCAUAACCGAGGGCACGGCUUUUGAAAGUUCAAAACCCUGCAGGGGUGUCCCAACUUAGCCCAUCACAAGCUCUCAUGGUCAACGAAGGAUAUUCCAUCUCCCAAGACAAUCCGAUCAGACUCGGAAUCCCGGUUAAAAGACAUCCUCGACAAUGGUAAAACAAGUCCAGCAAGACCACCCGCUGUGCCGACAAAUCCUGAUAGGAGCUGCACAUAUCUCGUUCUCAGGGCACACCGGAUAAGCUAAAGGUAAGGGAGCCAACGUAACCCAAGUUGCCAAGGGACGGCCCCGCACGGUGCUCUGGGUUGGACCAACACUUAGACAAGCACUGGCCCGGGGGUUUAAAAUAAAGAUGACCCUCGGGAUGCGCGACUCCCACAGGAAAAAGGCUAGGUGGCGAAUGGUAAAACCAAGGUUGGGCCUUGCUGGAGGAGUUUUAUUCAAAGCAAACUAUCAAGGGGUUCCCAUUAUAACCCAACUGUGUAAGGAACGCAAAAUCCGGGAACAUAACACCGAUAUGACGGAAACUAGGGUGGCAAGAGUGGAACAAAACACCAGGCAUAAGGCCGAGCCUUCCACCCUUUACCAAGUAUAUAGAUGCAUUAAUUAAAUAAGAGAUAUUGUGAUAUCCCAACAAAUAUCCUUGUUUCAACAAGGAACAAACUCCAAUCUUCACCUGCAACUAACAACGCUAUAAGAGGGGCUGAGCAAAGCGGUAACAUAGCCAAACAACGGUUUGCUAGGACAAGGUGGGUUAGAGGUUUGACAUGGCAAUAUGGGAGGCAUGAUAAGCAAGUGGUAGGUAUCAUAGCAUAGGCAUAGCAAAAGAGCGAGCAUCUAGCAAGAAAAGAUAGAAGUGAUUUCGAGGGUAUGGUCAUCUUGCCUGAGAUCCCGCAAGGAAGAAGAACGAGUCCAUGAAGAAGACAAACGGACGUAGCCAACAGAUCCUCACAAACGCAAUGUUACCGGAUUACCAAGAAGAAGUACACCGGAAAGAAACAAACAACAUAGUAAACAACCACCACAUAACCAUGGCAUGAUGCACAACCAAGUAUGAUGCAUGUUCGGUAUAAUGAUACAUGGCAUGGCAAAGUGCAACAAACAACACUACAAAUUAAGUGGAGCUCAAUAUGCAACUUGACGAAACACCACGUGACUUAUUUAGUUCGAUCUUGUUUAUGUACUCAACAAUAUUAAAUGUUGUUAGCAUGGCAAGAGGUGAAGCAUAAUGAAAACUACCUAUCUAGGCAAGUUUAAAUGAGGCCGGAACAACAAAACAACAAGUCCGGAAAAUCCUCAUGAGCAUUUUAUAGAUUUGGUACUGUUAUGCCCUAAACACAAUUUUAGAGUUAUUAAACAAGCAAAACAAGUACACCAUGUUAAACUAGGAAUUUUUCCACCCCAUUUACAUAUAAAGUUUAUUAAAUUCGGAGUUAUGGUUAUUAUUUAUGAAUUAAAUCAUUUUAGCAUGCUAAUUAAGCAUAUAAAAGAAAACAUCAUUUUAAGCAUUUUAAACAUGCAUGAAAGUGAUAUAUUAUGAAACUAGACAAAAUUCUAAACAACUUUCAUAUUAAGUUUGAUAAAUUCUGAUGCACGGUUAAUUGGUUAUUAAAUGCAUGAAUGCUGAGGGUUUUUCUGCAAAAUAGGUAAACUCUGGAUAAAAGACAAAAUCGUAGACAUGGAAAAAAACUACACUGGGCCAAAACUACAGCCUGGCCCAACAGUUGCAGAGGCGCUGGAGGCUCACCAUGGGCCUCGGCCCAUUCGGUGGAGGAGGGAGACCCACAGGGCGCGCAGCUGGGCCUUUGAGCCCACCCGACGAACGCUUGUGGACGCGGCACAGUCAACGCGGGAUUCGACCCUGUCGUCCUUCUCUCGAACAGAGGCAACACGUGACUUGGACGAGCGCUCUUGCUCGAAGGAGUGGAAGCAGAGGUCAGCGGGGUUGGGAGCAGAGCUCCGGCGAGCGGGGUGGCGAGGUCUUAGGCGUCCGGAUCUGGCCGGGAACGAGCUUGGACGCUGAGAAGAACCCGAUCCGGCGGCCGACGCCUUUCUCUGAAGAAGAAAGCAGCCAUGGCGCGGGGGCUUCAGGCCGGCGACAGAAAGUAGGGAGACAACGGCUUGGGACAGAGGGCCCGGUUGAGGACGACGCAGCAAAACGGGACGACCAUGGGCUCCUCCAGGCGGCGGCUUGCUUGCUCUGGCGAGGCGAUUGCAAGCGAGGAGAGUUGAGGCGGCCGGCGAGGGUCUUCGGCUCGGUGGUGCUGACCUUGCAGAAGAAACAGGGCGACCACGCAAUUAGCAGCAGCAGGAGGAGAAGAACAGCAAGAAACAGGGAGGAGGCGCGGUGAGGAGGACCUGCGGGUCGGAGCCGCUUGACGCGGGGGCCAUGGUGUGGUGCUGCUCUCGAUCCACCCUGGAUCGAGGCACGGGAGGAGGGGAGGAGGCGCGGAGCAGCCUGCUCGUGCUCGAGGGUGAGGGCGGCGCUCGGGGUUGGCUGAUGCUCUGCUCGGUGGUGCUCUGGCCGGGGCUCUCGGGAGGAGGAGGUUGCGGGAUUGGGUGGAUCGAGGGGAGGAGGACGUUGGCCCGGUGCUGAAAACGAGGGAGUUGGUCGGGAUCGGCUGGGAAUGGGUGGAUGGAUCUGGGAGGAUCCCAAUGAAGAGAGUGGCGGCGGCGAGUUGGAUUGGUGGAUUGAACAGGAUAGGCUACGGUUUGACUGGUUAUUUAUAGUAUUGGAUUUUGGUUUGGGGCUAACUCGUCCCUCCGAUCAUAAUCGGACGAUCGCGAAUAAAAUAGUUAGGGAGUCCAAAUAAGAAAACGGAGAUGUUUUGUAGACGUUUGGGAUGAUCCGGAUCCAACGGUGACGACUGUUCGGGUCGGGUCUGGGACAGCUUUUCGGACGCGCGCUCGAGGAGGGCCGCGAGCUGACGAGAGAGGUUAGGUUGGACCUGGCGGUUGGUAGUGAGCUGCGUAGACGGUCUCGAUCUGAGACAAGAGAAGAGAGGGAGGCCCGGCGACUGUUUUCGGAGACCGAAAACGUCCGACGUGUGCCCGACUAUAAUGCCGCUAUAGUUUAACGGUUGGGCUAUCAGACGAACUCCGAAUGCGAUGAAACUUGACAGGCGGUCUAUCUACACUAUAAUAAGACUACACGCCAACUUUCAACCCAUUCUGAGAACAUUUCGGACGUGCCGCGGGUGCGUGCAAGGGUGUCUGGACUCAGAAUGGACAACGGAAGGAACGGGGAGGCCGGGACAGAUGCAAGUUUGAAUAUAUGAUGAUGCAAUGCACAUGAUGACAUGGCAAGAUGCAACACACAAGCGAAUGACAUGGCAAUGACGGCGAAUAACUGGAAGACACCUGGCGCAACGGUCUCGGGGCGUUACAACACUCGACCACUACGAGAGGAUCUCGUCCCGAGAUCUAGGAUGGCACUGGAGGGAAAAACGGAAGAGAAAAAGAAGGGGUAAAACUAAGUUGCUUCUCUGACCAAUGAGUGAGACCAAAGAACCUUGAGAGGUUGAACAAAUAGAAAGAAAGAAUGCAACGAAGAAGAACAAAGUUGAAAACACUCCUUUAGAAACAAGGAACAAGGAACAUAACUAGAACCUUGUAGGUUGAAAGACAUAAGAAAAGGGGUGCAAUGGACAAGAAGUAGAUGCAAGCACCUUGGUUGACACGAGAUGUACAAGGAAUGAUAAAGAUCAAUUACAGCAACACUCUGGUUGGAAAUGGAAGGUAAAGAAUAUGAGCUUGGCAAAAAGAAAGCACUUGGAUGAGACUCCGGUUAGAAGGGGAAUGAUAAACACAACACUCCGGUUAAAACAAGAUAGAGAAGGAGUAAGAAUGAUAUAAUUAGGGCAGCACUCUGACUGAAAAGAAAUGCAAGGCUUGAUAAGGCGAAAUGAACUUGAGCAAAAGGGCACAACACUCCAGUUAAAAUGGAUAGGCAUGAAAAGAACAUGAUCUUUGACAAAACGAGAUGAUGGGUUGAAAAGAGCAACAUCACAAUGCCUCCGGAACAAAAGAAUAGAAGAUAGAUAAUUGAAAUAGGAGAAUGGAGAAGAAAAAGGCAACUUCUGCCACAAAAGAGCUUGAAAAGGAAUCUUUAGGAGAAGGGUCGAACGGAGUUGUUGGAAAAAAACCAACAACGAAAAGAGUAAGCUUGUUGUGGGCUUAUAGAAAACAUCUCGAAAUUAUGAGGUGAAAUUCUGCCACUAAUGGAAACAAUAGAUUGGAUUGAUAUGAACAAGAAAACGAGAAACUUAUUUCACCAGAAGGAUAAAUGAAGAACUUGGGUAAUUUAUAAGCACCAUAAUUAGCAACAAUCCUUAGGGUAAGCUUUAGGUGAAAUAUAACCCAAGAUAACUCCAACGAAGAGGUUGAUGGAUUUAAAAUACCUCAUUCUUAACCGCAUGUGAAUCAUGAAACAUGAACUCAAAUUAUCCAGAAUGACAUAAAUACCACCUCAAAUGAUACUGUAGAAAGAAUAGCACUCCGGAAUGCAAGAUGAAGAAUGCUUGAGCUCCUUCAAAAAGAAUCUUGAUGAACACUUCGAGAAGGAAUUAAAUCCUUGAUGAACCAUCAUGUAGAACCUCCAUGAAGAACUCUGGUAACAAAAUGAUGAUAAAAAAAGAGAAGUUGACAACACAAGGUGAAACCUUGUAAUGAUUUAGAUGGAUCUCCAUGAUGAUAUAAUUUCGAGAUCUUGGAACUCCGGGAAAAGAAAAGAUGAAUUAAGUGAAACCGAGAAUUUGAUGAGCCUCUGGAAUAAGGAAUUAAACAUUUGGGUGAAUCAAGAAUAAGAAUUAUGUUAUGCUCAUCCUUCACCAAUUUAGAUUGAUGACAAGCAAUGGAUUUGGCAUACUACUUAUUCUCGUGGAAAAGAUUAAAGAGAGGUAUAGCUUAAACUUGAGAAGGUAUUCAAUGAACCAUCGGUAGGAUUGAAACAACGAAUGAAUUAAAAUGAUAACCAUGGAAAAGAAUCCUGGAAGAACCACCGUAAGAAUUGAAAAAGAACAAAGUAAAGGGAUGAAUCACCGGGUAAGAAUUGGCAAAUGAACGAAGAUACAAGAGAGAGUUUAGAUACAAGAGAACGAAGAGAUGAAGAACUGAUUAGCGGAUAUUUGAUCGAUGCACCGGUAAGAUUUGGAGAACAUUAGCUGAAAACUAAGGAUGACUAAACCUGAAUUGAUGGACUCCGGAUAACAAACUGAGAAGACUCUUGAAUGGCUUCGGAUGGGUGAAAAGAAUUGUCACGAUUGAAAACAGUUAUGAGAGGAUAUCAUGAAGCUAGAAUCACGAAUCUUUGAUAGAACAAAAACAAGAUUCAAGGGAAAACUCUUCUUCGGUCUUCAAAAGUAGAGACAGACGAUGGGAAACACCACCAUGAAUUGUUGAGGCACUCCAGAAUUAAAAUUGGAAAGGUUGAGCCAACGAUGAAAAGAAUUUGAGAAGUCUUGGAGAAAUACAUAUGAUUGAUGAUAACCCAUUGUUACGUCAAACUUUGAAAGAUUUGAGAAUAGCUCCGGUAAAAUUAGAAGACUCAGGUAAGAUCCUGGGAAAAGACCUGUGGGUUAGGGCCCACUCAAAAGAAACACCGUUGAAUGAUUGCUUGAAAAGAGAGAUUCCACCGGUUGAAUUUAAAUGGCUUGAAUGAGAUAACAUCCUCGAAAGAGCUUGAACGAAAGCAGAGUGUAAGCACGAAUCUUCAGGAUAUCUUGAGCACUCCGAAACAAUUGAAUAACGAGAAAUGACUGAAUAUGAGGUGCACCGGCAAGAGAAGGUAUUGAAACGAGGAGAAAGGAUAUGAUCAACAAAGCUUGACUUGAAUCCACCGGAGAAGGAAAAGAAUGAAGAAUGAUGAACUAGUAGAGCAUCUUCAAGAGAACCACCGGGUAAGAACAUUGAUUGGAAAGAACGAAGAGACUUCACAUGAAUAAAAUGGAUAUUUGAUUAAGAAAUCUGAAUCCUUGAAUAAAAAGGGUUGGAGGGCGGGAAAAACAAAGAUAACUUGAUACGGAAGAAACAAACAAUGUUGAGAAGACUUGGAGUUGAUCUUACGGAUGAGACAAAUGAUAGGAUCAUCUUGAAGAGAAUCGCACCGGCUGGCAAGGAUUGACAUGACAAUCUCGAUUAUCAUGAAGGAUUGGUAUUUACAUGGAGUAUGAGAACACCGAUUAGGAAAAGGUAUGGAAUCAACAUUUGACUUCGAAGCAACUCGAAUACCACAAUUGAAAACAAAACAAAGGAUUGGCUUGCAGAAUAAGCCAGAACAAACAUAUGAUAGAGAUUUCGUCCGAAGUUUUCAUGGUGGGGCCUACACGGGCUCGAUCGUACAACACCAUCAUGUACAAGGCAGUGCACAUGACAUGCGAAGUGUCCCCGAGUCAGCAUAGCCAAGGACUCUUUAAGACACAACGAGACCACUGUAAAACCAACCGUGGAUAGGCGGACCACUAGACGUCGAACUCCAAUUUCAUAUCAUACAUCUGUCAGGAAGAUAUCCUAAGAUCUACUUGAAUUCCCACUUAUAAACUCCCGAAACUUUCCGGUUAUGCAAUCAGGUGUUGGGGAUACAGGGGAAGCAUAAUAUCUCACCCAAAACUAGCAAAUCCUACAUCCAGCUAUAUCCAUCCUUCAACACAUAACCAAGAAACCUUCGGAAAUCAUUUACCUCAACCUUCUAAAAGCAUCCGUUAUAAGAGUUAUGGCAAUACUCCCGAACUCCUGCCCCAGUAGUGGGUGGCAUCGAGGUUAUCUCACCAACAACUACAUAAAAGAGAUUUUCGAUGUCGGCGAAACUCAAGUAUUCCAGAACUGCAACGAUAAAAUUGUGACGAUAACACCUCGGAGUUCAACUCCUCGGGACACUGCCACAACCCCUAAAUGUCAGGAGGCAACAAGAACAAUGUUCUCGUCACAAAACCAUCGGAACGAUUCCAAGAUACCCAUGUGAUCCUAAAUUUUUUUAGUGAAAUUUGAGAAGACAAGAGUCAAAACUCUACGUCAGGAUGCCUCACCAGAGCGAUCAAGGGACUGAGGAGUAAAAAGAAUCCUACUCUCUGAUAUAUAUAAUCCUAAAUGAUUCAAAACAUUUUUCUAGACUCAACAACGCCAGCGAUUCGAUCAAGCAGGGGGCUCCUAAGUCAGGGAAGGCUCUGAUUACCAACUUGUAACACCCUCGAUGUGGCGAUAUCUCCCACAUGACGAAGCAUGACUUAGAGGCAUAACCGCAUUGAAAGCAAUGUCGCAAGUGAGGUAAUCUUCACAUAAUCCAUGUAGUACAUAAGGGAAAGAGAUACAUAGUUGGCUUACAAUCGCCACUUCACACAAUACAUGAAUAAAGCAUUACAUCAUCCAGAUACACACAAGGUCCUACUACGGAACCAAAAUAAAAGAAGACUACCCCAAAUGCUACACAGAUCCCCGAUCGUCCCAACUGGACUCCAGUACUGAUCAACUGAAACGAAAUAACACAAUGAACGAGAUCUUCAUCGAGCUCCUCCUUGAGCUCGGUUGCAUCACCUGCACGGUUUCAUCGGCACCUUCAAACUGGUUUUGGCAGUAUCUAUGAGUCACGGGGACUCAACAAUCUAACACCCUCGCGAUCAAGACUAUUUAAGCUUAUAGGUAAGGUAAAGGUAUGAGGUGGAGCUGCAGCAAGCGACUAGCAUAUAUGGUGGCUAACUUACGCAAAUGAGAGCGAGAAGAGAAAGCAAGGCACAGUCGAUAAACUAUGAUCAAGAAGUGAUCCGAGACUACUUACGUUCAAGCAUAACUCCAACACUGUGUUCACUUCCCGGACUCCGCCGAAAAGAGACCAUCAUGGCUACACACGCGGUUGAUGCAUUUUAGUUAAGUUUAGUUUCAGGUUCUCUACAACCGGACAUUAAAAAAUUCCCAUCUGCCCAUAACCGCGGGCACGACUUUCGAAAGUUCAAAACCCUGCAGGGGUGUCCCAACUUAGCCCAUCACAAGCUCUCACGGUAAAUGAAGGAUAUUCCUUCUCCCAAGACAAUCCGAUCAGACUCGGAAUCCCAGUUACAAGACAUCCUCGACAUUGGUAAAACAAGUCCCGCAAGACCACCCGCUGUGCCGACAAAUCCUGACAGGAGCUGCACAUUUCUCAUUCUCAGGGCACACCGGAUAAGCUAAACGUACGGGAGCCAACGUAACCCAAGUUGCCAAGGGACGGCCCUGCACGGUGCUCUGGGUUGGACCAACACUUAGACAAGCACUGACCCGGGGGUUUAAAAUAAAGAUGACCCUCAGGAUGUGCGACUCCCAAGGGAAAAAGGCUUGGUGGCAAAUGGUAAAACCAAGGUUGGGCCUUGCUGGAGGAGUUUUAUUCAAAGCGAACUGUCAAGGGGUUCCCAUUAUAACCCAACCGUGUAAGGAACGCAAAAUCCGGGAACAUAACACCGAUAUGAAGGAAACUAGGGCGGCAGGAGUGGAACAAAACACCAGGCAUAAGGCCGAGCCUUCCACCCUUUACCAAGUAUAUAGAUGCAUUAAUUAAAUAAGAAAUAUUGUGAUAUCCCAACAAAUAUCCGUGUUCUAACAAGGAACAAACUCCAAUCUUCAUCUGCAACUAACAACGCUAUAAGAGGGGCUGAGCAAAGCGGUAACAUGACCAAACAACGGUUUGCUAGGACAAGGUGGGUUAGAGGUUUGACAUGGCAAUAUGGGAGGCAUGAUAAGCAAGUGGUAGGUAUCAUAGCAUAGGCAUAGCAAAAGAGCGAGCAUCUAGCAAGCAAAGAUAGAAGUGAUUUCGAGGGUAUGGUCAGCUUGCCUGAGAUCCCGCAAGGAAGAAGAAUGAGUCCAUGAAGAAGACAAACGGACGUAGCCAACGGAUCCUCACAAACACAACGUUACCAGAUUACCGAGAAGAAGUACACCGGAAAGAAACAAACAACAUAGUAAACAACCAUCACAUAACCAUGGCAUGAUGCACAACCAAGUAUGAUGCAUGUUCGGUUUAAUGAUACAUGGCAUGGCAAAGUGCAACAAACAACACUACAAAUUAAGUGGAGGUCAAUAUGCAACUUGACGAAACACCACGUGACUUAUUUAGUUCGAUCUUGUUUAUGUACUCAACAAUAUUAAAUGUUGUUAGCAUGGCAAGAGGUGAAGCAUAAUGAAACCUACCUAUCUAGGCAAGUUUAAAUGAGGCCGGAACAACAAAACAACAAGUCCGGAAAAUCCUCAUGAGCAUUUUAUAGAUUUGGUACUGUUCUGCCCUAAACACAAUUUUAGAGUUAUUAAACAUGCAAAACAAGUACACCAUGUUAAACUAGGCAUUUUUCCACCCCAUUUACAUAUAAAAUUUAUUAAAUUCGGAGUUAAUGUUAUUUAAUUAUGAAUUAAAUCAUUUUAGCAUGGUAAUUAAGCAUAUAAAAGCAAACAUCAUUUUAAGCAUUUUAAACAUGCAUGAAAGUGAUAUAUUAUGAAACUAGACAAAAUUCUAAACAACUUUCAUAUUAAGUUUGAUUAAUUCCGAUGCACGGUUAAUUAGUUAUUAAAUGCAUGAAUGCUGAGGGUUUUUCUGCAAAACAUGUAAACUCUGGAUAAAAGACAAAAUCGCAGACAUGGAAAAAAACUACACUGGGCCAAAACUGCAGCCUGGCCCAACAGUUGCAGGGGGGCUGGAGGCUCACCAUGGGCCUCGGCCCAUUCGGUGGAGGAGGGAGACCCGCAGGGCGCACACCUGGGCCUUUGAGCCCACCCGACGAACGCUUGUUGAUGCGACACAGUCAACGCGGGAGUCGAUCCCGUCGUCCUCCUCUCGAACAGAGGCAACACGUGACUUGGACGAGCACUCCUGCUCGAAAGAGUGGAAGCAGAGGUUAGCGGGGCUGGGAGCAGAGCUCCGACGAGCAGGGCGGCAAGGUCUUAGGCGUCUGGAUCUAGCCGGGAACGAGCUUGGACGCUGAGAAGAACCCGAUCCGGCGGCCGACGCCUUUCUCUGAAGAAGAAAGCAGCCAUGGCGCGGGGGCUUCAGGCCGGUGACGGGAAGUAGGGAGACAACGGCUUGGGACAGAGGACCUGGUUCAGGACGACGCAGCGAAACGGGACGACCAUGGGCUCCUCCAGGCGGCGGCUUGCUUGCUCCGGCGAGGCGAUUGCAAGCGAGGAGAGUUGAGGUGGUCGGCGAGGGUCUUCGGCUCGAUGGUGCUAACCUUGCAGAAGAAAUAGGGCGACCACACAAUUAGCAGCAGCAGUAGGAGAAGAACAGCGAGAAACAGGGAGGAGGCGCGGUAAGGAGGACCUGCGGGUCGGAGCGGCUUGACGGCGGGGGCCAUGGCAUGGUGCUGCUCUCGAUCCACCCUGGAUCGAGGCACAGGAGGAGGGGAGGAGGCGCGGAGCAGCCUGCUCGAGCUCGAGGGUGAGGGCGGCGCUCGGGGUUGGCUGAUGCUCUGCUCGGUGGUGCUCUGGCCGGGGCUCUCGGGAGGAGGAGGUUGCAGGACUGGGUGGAUCGAGGGGAGGAGGAGGUUGGCCUGGUGCUGAAAACGAGGGAGUUGGUCGGGAUCGGCUGGGAAUGGGUGGAUGGAUCUGGGAGGAUCCCAAUGAAGAGAGUGGCGGCGGCGAGGAGGAUUGGUG